GAGAGCGGGAACAUUAGUCGUUAGGAAAGCUUCCAGAAGUUUCCACGUGUUGGAGACGACUGUGGUACAUAUUGAGCCAACGAGAGAAAUGUUAUAGAAGCAAAACUAUCCUGACUGGGUUUUUUUGGGGAUUGAUUCACUCGUGGAGAAGAGACUACCUGCUGCGACCUGGACUGAACCCCAACAACGGACGCCACCAGAGGCGUAGGGGAAAAAUUUACAGAGGAGAACACUGACGUUCCUUGACCACCUACGUUCGUUGAGGGCGGUAGGACAAAAGGAUUCAUCAGCAGUCCUUGGAUUAUUAUUAUUAUUUUUGUGAGAUCUCAGAUUUUCAUUUUUUUGGGGUCAGGCCUGCCACCAGACUAAAGGGGGGAAAAAAACGAUCGCAAUUUAAUUUUAUUUUUCUCACUGACUCAAGGUGUCGCUAUUUAGGUUAAAAAUUUUUUUCAUUGCAUUUACUGUUUAUAAAUUGUUCAAAAUCAAAUUCAAUAAUACAGUUGUGUUCCAUUGUAUGGUCUUUUGUCAGUGUGUCUUAUGCUGUUGAGUGCCGCUGCCGAUCUCCUACGGAACCUAGAUUAGUCGAACCCUAAAAUUAUACCAUUUACAACCCACUCAAAGCCAAAAAAGCGCACCAGAGUGGCCAAAACAUUGACACCGAAAGCGCUGUCACUCAGUUGUAAUUUUGGAAGACUAACUAACGACAUGUUUUAUUGAAGUUGCUAACCUGUCAAAUGAGUCCAUUUAUCGCACGGCAAAUGAAAAUGAGGGCGAAAAUUUUCACGGCUGUGUCUUAACGCAGCGCGCGUGCAUACAUUUGAGCGUGCGUUCAGACUUCAGUUCUUUUCACAGAUGUUUAUUGGUCAUCAACACGCCAUAGAAUUAAAGUUCAGACAUACAAAAUAAGGAAACACAUCUAUAUUAAACACUGUAAACGUUAGCAUUGCUACAUUGAGGCUAAUGGGGAAAAAAGACAACCUACUUUAGCCUGCUAUAAAACAUUGGCAAUCUUUUCCAAAACGCAAACUUGCGGUUAAAAGGUGACACUUCAAACAUGAAAAAUCGCUGGUUAA